UUGGCUUGUUGUCCCAGGGAGGGAAGUGUUUAGAUAAACAGACAGAGUGCUGACCUAGGAGGGGAGAAUCCCCCCCACUCUUUCUCUCUCUGUUUCUCUGUGUCUCUGUCUCCCCACAGCCCUAUCUCUCUUUCUCAGACCUGUGCCCUCAGUAGGGAGAUGAUGCCUGGGGCUGCUACCCUGGACUCUCCCCCAGGCCCUAGGCUCCUCUGUGGUAUUGUCCUGUGUCUCCUGGGAGCAGGUGUGGUGCAUGCUGGGGUCCUCCAGUCCCCCAGACACCUGAUCAAAGCCAAGGGAGGAAAGGCCACUCUGCAGUGCUUUCCUGACUCUGGACAUAAUACUGUGUACUGGUACCAGCAGGCCGAGGACCAGAGCCUCCAGUUCCUCAUUUCUUAUUUUGGAGAAUCAGAGAGAGAUAAAGGAAGCAUCCCUGGGCGCUUCUCAGCUCGGCAGUUCAGUGACUAUCACUCUGAGCUGAACAUGAGCGCCUUGCAGCUGAAGGACUCCGCGCUGUAUCUGUGUGCCAGCAGCUUGCACAGCCCUAAAGCAUGGCAGGGAGACAUGAGUGAUCCAAGGUCCAUGGCUGGACUGAAACCAGAGAGAAUUCAUCUCAUGAGGACACCUGGAGACCUGAGCCCAGAGCGCUGCUGUCACCCGAAUCAUUGUGAAACUAGAUCCUGCACCCUGACCUUCACACGCUAA